rnacentral:tRNA from 1 species
GCCUGGGUGGCUCAGUCGGUUGGGCGUCUGACUUCAGCUCAGGUCAUGAUCUCACAGUUCGUGGGUUCGAGCCCCGCGUCGGGCU